rnacentral:rRNA from 1 species
UACGAAAGGGGCUAGCGUUGCUCGGAAUCACUGGGCGUAAAGCGCACGUAGGCGGCUUUUUAAGUCAGGGGUGAAAUCCUGGAGCUCAACUCCAGAACUGCCUUUGAUACUGGGAGCUCGAGUCCGGGAGAGGUGAGUGGAACUCCGAGUGUAGAGGUGAAAUUCGUAGAUAUUCGGAAGAACACCAGUGGCGAAGGCGGCUCACUGGCCCGGUACUGACGCUGAGGUGCGAAAGCGUGGGGAGCAAACAGG